AUGCUUUAUUGGGUGAGUGGGAGCGGUGGUCUGACUGUAGAAAAAGAUAGCAAGUUCUCUGGUCUAAGCUCUUCAAUACAAGUUAUACAAACACAGGGUUACCUAUCGAUUUUCAAAGCCAGGGCUCUUUAAAUGUGGGGUUUAUCAAGGAUCGAUAAAGAACUUUUUAUUCUGUCAAAUCAGAUGUAGGUACAUGAACCAAAAAAUUUAAUUAUCCACUCAAGUGAAAACCCUGAAUUUGGUCAGUGCACAUAAAUUGGCAUUUCUUCACACUUUAUAAGUUAGACAAAAAAUAAUAAAAGAAAAAAAUAUAAUAAAGCAGGUCUACAAAUCCAGUUCCCUGGAAAAAGACAAAUUUCUUUAAAUAUGGGGUGCUGCAGACUAAGGCAACUUUUAGUCAAUAAAAAGGGUAAUCUAUUAGUCUUAGAUAUUAUAGGAAUGAAACUAUACAACAUUGUUUUUUCCUUCUCAUUUACACUGUACAGUCCACAUCUUUCAUGUUUGGCAAAAUUAGCCAAUACACGUUUGUGUAACAAUUAUCCUACAUUUUACACCCAAAUACAACAGCGUGAACACUAUACAAACAUACAUAAGCACAGGUUUUUUUCUUCUUAAGGCCUCUUUUAGAGAGCUUGGACAAAAACUUGGAUGAACUUAAAUGGAAUGACUGAAUUUAGCUAACCAUUAAAUCCAUCAGCAUGGACUUACAAGUACCUUCAAUGAAAUAAAACAUUUCAAUUGGUAUAAUGUAACAACAAUCACAUUUUUAUCAUAUUGCGUCCUGUUUUGUGAGACAUUUCAUCCUGCUUUACACGAGAACAUAAACACGAGUUCUUCUUUAUCUACAUUUUUUUUGAACGGACACAUUUGCAAUCUUUUAAUAAAGACACAACCUGCAUACAUUCAAUGCCAUUUCAGCUUUUUUUUUUUAUAAAUAAAUUAUUCCUUGUUAUGAUGAUCAACCUUUCAACGUGUAGCAAGUCCCAAGAUAUUUACCCUCCUGUUUAUCUCCUCUAUAUAAGACAUGAUUGUCUAACAUGGACAAGUAUGUAAAAGCCAAAAUAUGUCUUUUCCAAACCUCCACUAAUAUUAAAAACAACCAACCAAAGUUAUACAAAGUUUCAAGCUUCUGUUUAAAAUUCCAAAGCAGACUAAAAAAAAAAUUCAUUUAUCAACUGAAUAUAAUUAGUUUGUCCAAAGCGUCGCUUUUGUAUUCAAAUUUGCCAUAGUAUGUACAAAUGUAUGUUUGCAUGUAUGAAAACAAACAUUUACACAAUAAAAGCCAGAAACACUGUCCAUUAGCUGCUACACUUCAUGUGAGGGGCUUGGUUUAGCUAAAACACACCAAAAACAUGUGAACAAAUUUAAGUGCAGGGGGGAAAGUAGCGAGUGUCUGUUGGUGCCGAGACAGACGUCUUCUCUGCUCCGUAUUACAGAGGAAUCAGCAAAAACACAACUGGCAUCCAUGUUCUUCAUGAAUCCCAGUUGAGGGCCACACUUUACGGCCAGCCAGCGUUUCUCUGUUGAUGAGGGCGAGUAAAAAAAAAAGUGGUCAGCGGGAGUGUAGUUUACCCUGAAACGGCUGGUCAAAACAGGUGAUCUUCCAGGGCCACGUCAUACAUGUGAAGGCACGUUGAU